CCUACGGGAGGCAGCAGUAGGGAAUCUUCCACAAUGGGCGAAAGCCUGAUGGAGCAACGCCGCGUGGGUGAAGAAGGCCCUCGGAUCGUAAAACCCUGUUGUUAGAGAAGAAAGUGCGUGAGCGUAACUGUUCACGUUUCGACGGUAUCUAACCAGAAAGCCACGGCUAACUACGUGCCAGCAGCCGCGGGAAUACGGAGGUGGCAAGCGUUAUCCGGAUUUAUGGGGCGGAAAGGGAACGCAGGCGGUCUUUUAAGUCUGAUGUGAAAGCCUUCGGUUUAACCGGAGUAGUGCAUUGGAAACUGGGGGACUUGAGUGCAGAAGAGGAGGGUGGAACUCCAGGUGUAGCGGUGAAAUGCGUAGAUAUAUGGAAGAACACCAGUGGCGAAGGCGGCUCUCUGGUCUGUAACUGACGCUGAGGUUCGAAAGCGUGGGUAGCAAACAGGAUUAGAUACCCGUGUAGUC
rnacentral:rRNA from 1 species